CCUACGGGGGGCAGCAGUAGGGAAUCUUCCACAAUGGGCGCAAGCCUGAAGGAGCAACACCGCGUGAGGGAAGAAGGGUCUCGGCUUGGAAAGCUCUGUUGUUGGAGAAGAAAGUGCGGGAGAGUAACUGUUCACGCAGUGACGGUAUCAAACCAGAAAGUCACGGCUAACUACGUGCCAGCAGCCGAGGUAAUACGUAGGUGGCAAGCGUUAUCCGGUUUUAUUGGGCGUAAAGCGAGCGGAGGCGGUGGCUUAAGUGUGAUGUGAAAGCCUUCGGCUUAACCGAAGAAGUGCAUCGGAAACCGGGCGACUUGAGUGCAGAAGAGGACAGUGGAACUCGAUGUGUAGCGGUGAAAUGCGUAGAUAUAUGGAAGAACACCAGUGGCGAAGGCAGCUGUCUGGUCUGCAACUGACGCUGAGGCUCGAAAGCGUGGGUAGCGAACAGGAUUAGAUACCCCUGUAGUC
rnacentral:rRNA from 1 species